UGUGAGAUGCAUGGUUAUUAUCAU
rnacentral:siRNA from 1 species